rnacentral:rRNA from 1 species
GACGAACGCUGGCGGCGUGCUUAACACAUGCAAGUCGAACGGAAAGGCCCUGCUUUUGUGGGGUGCUCGAGUGGCGAACGGGUGAGUAACACGUGAGUAACCGGCCCUUGACUUUGGGAUAACUUCAGGAAACUGGGGCUAAUACCGGAAAGGAGCUCCUGCUGCAGGGUGGGGGUGGGAAAGUUUCGGCGGUUGGGGAUGGACUCGCGGCUUAUCAGCUUGUUGGUGGGGUAGUGGCUUACCAAGGCUUUGACGGGUAGCCGGCCUGAGAGGGUGACCGGCCACAUUGGGACUGAGAUACGGCCCAGACUCCUACGGGAGGCAGCAGUGGGGAAUAUUGCACAAUGGGCGGAAGCCUGAUGCAGCAACGCCGCGUGCGGGAUGACGGCCUUCGGGUUGUAAACCGCUUUCGCCUGUGACGAAGCGUGAGUGACGGUAAUGGGUAAAGAAGCACCGGCUAACUACGUG